rnacentral:rRNA from 1 species
GGUAACCUACCCUGUACACACGGAUAACAUACCGAAAGGUAUGCUAAUACGGGAUAAUAUAUUUGAGAGGCAUCUCUUAAAUAUCAAAGGUGAGCCAGUACAGGAUGGACCCGCGUCUGAUUAGCUAGUUGGUAAGGUAACGGCUUACCAAGGCAGCGAUCAGUAGCCGACCUGAGAGGGUGAUCGGCCACAUUGGAACUGAGACACGGUCCAAACUCCUACGGGAGGCAGCAGUGGGGAAUAUUGCACAAUGGGCGAAAGCCUGAUGCAGCAACGCCGCGUGAGUGAUGAAGGCCUUCGGGUCGUAAAACUCUGUCCUCAAGGAAGAUAAUGACGGUACUUGAGGAGGAAGCCCCGGCUAACUACGUGCCAGCAGCCGCGGUAAUACGUAGGGGGCUAGCGUUAUCCGGAUUUACUGGGCGUAAAGGGUGCGUAGGCGGUCUUUCAAGUCAGGAGUGAAAGGCUACGGCUCAACCGUAGUAAGCUCUUGAAACUGGGAGACUUGAGUGCAGGAGAGGAGAGUGGAAUUCCUAGUGUAGCGGUGAAAUGCGUAGAUAUUAGGAGGAACACCAGUUGCGAAGGCGGCUCUCUGGACUGUAACUGACGCUGAGGCACGAAAGCGUGGGGAGCAAACAGGAUUAGAUACCCUGGUAGUCCACGCUGUAAAC